AACUAAUGCGUAAUAUGUGUUCUAUCGUCGGUUUAAAUUUUUUUUUUUUGAAAUUUUCGGAAGAUAAUGUUACCUGAAUUGAUUAUCUGGAAUAAACUAUUGUUAUUUAGCAAAAACACGUGUGCUGUAUAACUAGAUAAAAGUGUUCUUGUUUUUUGGGAAAGGAAGGUCUUUUUUAGAUUCAAGUUAAUAAGGUUAGGAUUUUAUUUAUCAAAUACUAUUAUAAUUGUUGCAUGCUGAAUAUUACAAUAACAUAUAUUUUUUAGUAUUCAUGUGUAAUAUAACAACAUCACUCGAUAUGUUUGUAAACAAAUUAAUUUGAAACAAUAAUUGCUUAGCAAGUCAUAUACGUUUACUUCUAAUUGAAUAAAAUUGUCUAAUAUAUGACGACUCGAGACAGAUUCUACGCGUUGUGCGGGUGACGAAGGCACGUAUUUAUUUAUCCAUAUGCAUAUAUACUGAUGAUAUUAUUCAGUAUUUUAGAGUUUUAACUAAUAACCAUACUUUCUAUUAUAAUUGUAUCUACUAAACACAAUCACAUUUGCAUGAUGCGUGAUUUUAAUGUGUUUCGUGUACUGUUACUUUUCACAAUAGAUGAGCGUCGUUCACUAAAACCCUCAGGUGCUAAUAUUCAUGUCCAUUAUAACAGGAUUAAGCUAAGCUCAGUAUUUUUGUCUUUUAAUAACUUGAGUAAUAUUUACUUCUUUAAGAGUUUUUAUGCUUAAGAUGGGAAUUAUCAUUAUAGUAAUCACAAUAAACAAAUUUCAUUAAUCAAAUUUCAAUAUUAGAAGUCUGUACUUUGCCUUAUUGAAAUAAGCUACUUAAGCCUGUUAAGCUUAAGAAGUUUCGAGAAAUUGGGGCCAGAAGUUAAGAGAUUUAACUUAUGACCCUACGAUCUGUUAUAAUUGCAUUUAAUUUACUUAUCACAGUCAGAUUUGCAUGUUGCGUCGUUUCAAUGUGUUUCGUGUACUACUACUGUAGCUGCGUACCAUCACAGGAAUUUGUUUGGUGGUAUUAAGUGAUAUAUCAAAGUCAUAAUAUUAUCAAAUACUGACAAAAACAGCAAGUGUUGUAUAUCAUUGCAAAGGUUAUGGAUGGGGCUUAUAAAAAUGUACAGUAUGUUUAGAUUCAGACGGUUAAGUAAAAGAAAACAGAGUUCAAAAUUGACCUAACUGAUUUUGGGCACUUCCAUAGUGCCGGUCCUUUCUUUAAUGAUAGUUUUAGUGGCCAGGUCUUUAUCCGAAAUUGUUGUUUUGUCAGUAUUUUGUCAUCGUAGACUUUAUUAUAUCAUUAAGACCAUACACAUGAGUCAAAUUCCUGUGCGUACAAUACGUGCGUACACUACAGCACUGAAAUAUUUCUUUAAGUAUUUUAGAAGUUAAUCUUUUUACUAUAACUGUAAUUAUCAAACACAUUUAUCAUUCGCCAGUGGCAUAACACGUCGUCCCAACGUGAUGAAAAAUUAUUUUCGUUUUAUUUGCUUCAAAUACCCACACCGCAGAUUUGCUACCAAGACAACAAAUGUUUGCAUCGAUUAAGGAUUGCAGGAGGUGUUUGGCCUCGGUCAUACACGAGACAUUUGUUCACAAUCUUGAAUACUUUUGCGAAGUUAUUUCAACGUCGGAAGUAGGAAUGGCGAUUUGGACACAGGACUUCUAUAGACAGCGCCGAUCGGGUCGCCCCUAUCUGCCCUGUUUUCGUAUAAGGCUAACAGUCACUAAAUAGCUUAGUAACUGAGACUGGUGUCGAAAGUUGCAAGGCUUCUCGGGUAUGUAAGAGUUUUGUCCGUUAUGGAGCUAUGCAGCGUCCCCGGAAGUGAGUACGGACGUUCAAAUCGGAAGUCCGGAUCUAGCUUGUAGCCGUUCUCCUCCCGACGACCGCCAGCUGACGCCACUUCAUAUUUUAGACGCGAUACCGCUGUCAACGUCGGUUCCCCUUUCUUACUUCGAACACGUUCGUGGAAAACAAAACCGGUUUUCUUAAAAUCCACCACUGGACACCAAUCGCGACCUGAACGGAGAUGGCAAAGAACCACAUGAAGAGAGUGUUUAUUCUUGAAACCUCUCCGC